rnacentral:rRNA from 1 species
AGAGUUUGAUCCUGGCUCAGGAUGAACGCUGGCGGUCUCUUAACACAUGCAAGUCGAACGAAUCCCUUCGGGGAUUAGUGGCGGACGGGUGAGUAACGCGUGAGAAUCUACCAAAAGGACUGGGACAACCACUGGAAACGGUGGCUAAUACCGGAUGAGCCGCAACGUAAAAGAGGAAACUCGCCUUUUGAAGAGCUCGCGUCUGAUUAGCUAGUUGGUGAGGUAAAGGCUCACCAAGGCGGCGAUCAGUAGCUGGUCUGAGAGGAUGAUCAGCCACACUGGGACUGAGACACGGCCCAGACUCCUACGGGAGGCAGCAGUGGGGAAUUUUCCGCAAUGGGCGAAAGCCUGACGGAGCAAGACCGCGUGAGGGAGGAAGGCUCUUGGGUUGUAAACCUCUUUUGUCAGGGAAGAACACAAUGACGGUACCUGAAGAAUCAGCAUCGGCUAACUCCGUGCCAGCAGCCGCGGUAAUACGGAGGAUGCAAGCGUUAUCCGGAAUUAUUGGGCGUAAAGCGUCCGCAGGUGGCACUUCAAGUCUGCUGUCAAAGACCGGGGCUUAACCCUGGAAAGGCAGUGGAAACUGAAGCGCUAGAGUGUGGCAGGGGUAGAGGGAAUUCCCGGUGUAGCGGUGAAAUGGUAGAGAUCGGGAAGAACAUCGGUGCGAAAGGCUCUACUGGGCCACAACUGACACUCAGGACGAAAGCUAGGGGAGCGAAUGGGAUUAGAUACCCUAGUAGUCC